UGCACUUCCGGUGGCCACGCCUCUGUACGUCACAGUUCGAGCCCACAAUCCUGCAGGCCUGCACUCCGUCACUGUCUCUAACAGCUUUGUGGUGGACGUUACGCCACCAGAAGUGGUUACUGUCCCGUACUUCUUAUCUCUGCAAAACGGAAGUAAAUCUGAAAGACAGUGGGACCGCUCUGUCCUCCUCCUAGCCUGGCAGUUCAGGGACCUCGAUAGCCCAGUGGUCAGUCAUGUUGUCAAUGUUGUCAGUCAGCAAAGAGGACGCCUUAUCACAGAGCCAGUCAUCCUGGGAGCUGAUACAAAGCUGAGCAUUAAUCUGGGCAAAGAAAACUUGCUAGUUGAUGGUGACCUCUACUGGACAACAGUCACGGCUUGCAAUGCUGCUGGGCUCUGUACGACAAGUCACUUCCUCCCGCCUUUUCGUGGACUCCACCCCUCCUUUUCAGGGUACCUUCAGAUCCCCCUUAACGUGGAAAUUUGAAAAUGUCACUGGUGGGGUUAUGGCUGCUGUUGUAAAUGUCACGUGGCAAGACUUCACUGACCCGGAGUCUGCAGUUGUAUCCUAUUACGUCAUUGCUGGCAGGGCAUGCAAUGGGGAGGAGCUCUCUAACGGUCCUGUGACUGUCGUUCAUGAC